rnacentral:rRNA from 1 species
CGUACACUCCUGCGGGAGGCAGCAGUGGGGAAUAUUGCACAAUGGGCGCAAGCCUGAUGCAGCCAUGCCGCGUGUAUGAAGAAGGCCUUCGGGUUGUAAAGUACUUUCAGCGGGGAGGAAGGCAAUACGGUUAAUAACCGUGUUGAUUGACGUUACCCGCAGAAGAAGCACCGGCUAACUCCGUGCCAGCAGCCGCGGUAAUACGGAGGGUGCAAGCGUUAAUCGGAAUUACUGGGCGUAAAGCGCACGCAGGCGGUCUGUCAAGUCGGAUGUGAAAUCCCCGGGCUCAACCUGGGAACUGCAUUCGAAACUGGCAGGCUUGAGUCUUGUAGAGGGGGGUAGAAUUCCAGGUGUAGCGGUGAAAUGCGUAGAGAUCUGGAGGAAUACCGGUGGCGAAGGCGGCCCCCUGGACAAAGACUGACGCUCAGGUGCGAAAGCGUGGGGAGCAAACAGGAUUAGAAACCCUGGUAGUCCCAUG